GCCGGGUGUGGUGGCUCAUACCUGUAAUCCCAGCACUUUGGGAGGCUGAGGCAGGUGGAUCACCUGAGGUCAGGAGUUUGAGACCAGCCUGGCCAACAUGGUGAAACCCUGCCUCUA
rnacentral:sRNA from 1 species